CACCCCUGGCAAUGGGCAAAGAGACACCUUGCUGGUGGUGUCAUUCUUAUAUCAAUUGAGGCAGAGCAGAUGGCAGUCCUUUGUUCAUUCUAGCUUGAUGUCUGGCUUGAUGGCCAAAGCUGUCUUAUGCCUAGGACUCAUAA